rnacentral:rRNA from 1 species
GACGAACGCUGGCGGCGUGCUUAACACAUGCAAGUCGAGCGGUAAGGCUCCUUCGGGAGUACACGAGCGGCGAACGGGUGAGUAACACGUGAGCAACCUGCCCUUCUCAUCGGAAUAAGCGUUGGAAACGACGUCUAAUGCCGAGUAUGACCUUCUUUCACAUGAUCGAAGGUGGAAAGCCCCGGCGGAGAAGGAUGGGCUCGCGGCCUAUCAGCUAGUUGGUGGGGUAACGGCCCACCAAGGCGACGACGGGUAGCCGGCCUGAGAGGGUGACCGGCCACACUGGGACUGAGACACGGCCCAGACUCCUACGGGAGGCAGCAGUGGGGAAUAUUGGACAAUGGGCGAAAGCCUGAUCCAGCAACGCCGCGUGAGGGAUGACGGCCUUCGGGUUGUAAACCUCUUUCAGCGGGGACGAAGCGAAAGUGACGGUACCCGCAGAAGAAGGACCGGCCAACUACGUGCCAGCAGCCGCCGUAAGAC